GCAGCAGUGACCAGCAGCAAGAAAGAGGAGAACAGUGGAGAGGGAGCUUCUGCUCCUGUGUACGAUGAGGUCUCCACCCUGGCUGUGACCUCCGACACCUCAAGAGCUGCACCCUCAGAUGAUCAGGAUGAUGUUCAGUACGCCAGCGUUCAUUUCUCACGCUCUCAGACGAAGGACGUUCCUCUCAACUCCACCGUCCACCCGUCAAACGCUCUGCCUGAAGAAGAGGAAGUGCAGUACGCCGCAGUGAACACUGCUAAACCAAGAUCUGCUCGGAAUGAUGAAAUUCUGAUCUACAGCACAGUCCAGAAGAAGGUGAGAAGAUGAACGCUCCCACCUCUCCAGCAGACACACCAAUAGUGGUGAACGGUAUAAGGAUAUCGUUAUAUCAUUUUCUUUAUAAAUCUCAUUAAGUAGACCCGAGUAUAACUGAGUAUAUUGUGCAUAUAUUUGGCAAAUGAAUGGUUGAAUAGUUUCUGAUGGAUUUAUAAAACUGCUCCAUGCCUGUUGGACGAAAGCAGCAGCAGAUAGCAAUCAUGCAGUCAUAACAUACUAAAUAUCAUCACUUUACCAGCUUCAAGGCUUCACAGUAGCGUUAGCAGUUACACGGAAACGGAUCCAGACAGCUUGUUCAAAAAGCAGCAGCGAGAAAAUGAAGAUCAUUAUUAGUCGUUUCUGAAUCUGUUAGAGCUGCAGCUCCUUCAUACGUCUCUGAAAGCCUCUUAAACUCUGAUCCACAUCGAGCUGCGAGAUCAUCCACUGCUGCCUUCACUUUCCACAGAUUUAACCUAGAAAAAGUGGUGAAGCAGACUUUUGGGUUUUACGCACCAAAGAUCUGAAACUCAUGAUCAAUAAACGUUUGUCCUUUUAUGCUCUGAUUUAAAAACAUAUUUUCACUGUGGUGUUUAACUCGCUUUUAUUU